AAAUGAGUUUCAAGGCUCAAUUGUUGGCACUCGUGUAACUCUGUGAUGCAGUACAGUUAGUGCUCCUUGCUCUGCAUAUUCUUUGGUGCAGAAUAUGCAAAUAUUGAAAUACAUAUGAAUACAUAUAAAAUAUGGAGAGCAGCAGGACAGGAAUCCAAGUGUCACCUGUCCCAGUUAAGGGUUCUGAUCAUCAGAUAAGAGCACCUUUCACUCAAGAAAUAGUAAUUUAAUAAAAAACAAAUCAAUUCCAGUGGGAAGGAGCUGAGGGAGGUCAGUUCUAGCAGGCAGGGCUAGAAUUCUUGCUUGAGAGGUGUGACACUGGUUAUCUUUUCUGCUUAUAUCCAUGUACUGCCCAGUUAAAAUACUCCAUUAAUAUUAGGUUUAAUGGAACAAAUAAUUUUUUCAUUGAAUCAUAGGGAAAUGUGAUAGAGAUAGAAGUGUUCAAGCAGUAGUAAAUAAUUUUGCUAGCGAAGAGUAGCACAUGGAAAUGAGGGAUGUGAAGAAACUUGUUACAGGUCAGCUGGGGUUCCUCUGGGGGCAGGAGCCACCCCCUCCUCUGUAGAAGCUUAUGGAGCACAAAAAUCAGACUGUGAAAAUGGAAUGGGUUACUUAACUGGCCUGUCCAGGUGAGCUUUGCAAGCACUGAAAUGUGUCAAAUCAGAGGGGACAGCAGAGCAUUCUCUCUGAUUUGGAAAAGGUGUCAAAAAUCUACUUGUCACAGACAACCUAAGAGAAUUGUAUAUGCUUACAGGGCUGCAGAAAGCCUGUAUUUUAAAAUAAAGUGCAGACAAGGCCAGUGUAUGCUGUAAGAGGAGCAUACACUUAGACCUUGACUAAAAAUGUCUGUGCAAUUACACAUGCACAGCUACUACAGCUAGCCCUGCCAGUCUGUUAGCUGGAUGUUCAGUUUAACUGCCCAACCAAACUGCUUGUUAGGUCACAAUCUGAGUCUGAAACACGGUUUGCAGAAGUUGCUUUAAGAGUUGAAAUUGGGAAAAUAGUAACACAGAGGUGUUAGAUACUGUAUCCAGAUCCAGCUCCACAGAUGUCAGAAAGUGCUGAUGGUCUCAUUCUGCCCUGGAAUAGGAAAAUGAAAAGAUUUCUUGAUAGGAAAGGUGUGGGUAUACUCAUACAUUUUCACAAGUGGGAAGACCUCUUGGUGUUAGAGAGUGUAAAUUUGGAGUAACAUUCAAGCCAAAUUAAGUGGGCUUUUCCAUGAAUGUUAUUGAACCACACUCUGUAGCUGCAUCUCAUUCUGGCUCCUCCAUCAUGGAAGGAAGUAUGCAUUUGAUCUAGACAGUUGAAUUUUAACAUUUUAAUGAUAGCCCAUCCAGAAGUAAAACAGCAGCUCAGACUGCUGAGGAAAACAGGAGCAAUACACAACUGAUGGACCUGUGAGUUUAGAAUGACACCCAUGAGCUUGCUUACAAACCUCUCUCACAUCCCUGCAUUCAUCAGGCAGGCAGUGAAGCCAUCCAUCUGCUGUUAUUGGAUGUGAGGCUCAUUCCUUGGGCUGGACACUGCCCAGUGCUGCUGCAGCUGUUUGCUUUUCCCCAGCCCUCAGGAGGAUGCAGCACACUGCUCCUGUGUGUGACAGUGCUGGGCUGCAGCUUGACAGUCUGACCUUGAGUAGGAUUGUUUGGUGCUUCUCUUCAACAUGACAAAUCCAUGUUGAUUUGACUGCCCAGAGUGUUUUUCAUUGGAGCCAUAGGUAGGCGUUUCAGGAGCUUAGGACCAUCCUGUUGCCCUUCCCCUCUUCUCUCCCAGCCAUUUAGGAAGUCAUCCUGUGAGAUGAGAAGAGAAGGGGACCAGCUGUUAGCCUUGCCAGGGCCAUGGCCCUGCAGCUGUGGUGGAAUCCUCCUUGUGCCAGCAGUAGGGCCAGGAGCAGGCUGACCUCAGCAGCGGGAGGACGUGAGUCAGGUUCACCUUGCUCUUAAUCCAUGUGAAGAUCUGUUGGAAACACCUCCUAGAAACCCAAGAGUUUUCAGUCUCCUAAUAAAUUCUGCUGUGUCCAAGAACAGCCUGUCCAAAUGAGCAAGACAUCCCAACAGAACACCACCACAGAUGCGAGCGGAGUAAGUGUGAUUCACACCCAAGCACACUCCAGUGGUUUGCAGCAGGUUCCCCAGCUGGUGCCAGUCAGUCCUGGUGGUGGAGGCAAAGCUGUGCCUCCGAGCAAACAGGGAAAGAAGAAUUCCUUUGUGGAUAGAAACAGCGAUGAGUAUCGGCAGCGCAGAGAGAGAAACAACAUGGCUGUGAAAAAGAGCCGGUUAAAAAGCAAGCAAAAAGCACAAGACACCCUGCAAAGGGUCAACCAGCUUAAAGAAGAAAAUGAACGUUUAGAGGCAAAAAUUAAACUCCUGACCAAGGAGCUGAGUGUACUGAAAGACUUGUUCCUUGAGCAUGCCCACAAUUUUGCAGAUAAUGUGCAACCUGUUGGCACUGAGAGCAGCACAACAAAUCCAGAAAGCAGCGGACAGUAAACACCUGUGACCUUCUGAAACAAACUGUUGAGGGGCAGCUUGUCUGCAGUGCCCAUGCAGUAACCAAGCAAAAACUGUACCUUUAGUCAUUGUUUUGUGGAGAUUUUUCUUCUUUUAGAUUUAACACUGAAGAUUUGUAACAAUUAAACCAGAAACUGGUUAGAUAUUUGUUUUAAAUAUUUUUCUUCUCAAAGAUUUAUGCAGUACUGAACUCCUAGUCAACAAGGAAUGUAAUAUUUAGGAGAUAACACUUUCACAGGAAUAUUCACUUACCAUUUUAGACUUCACCUAAUGGGAGGAAUCCAGCAGGAUGGCUCACUGCAGUAUCAGAAACUUGUAAUUGGAUAGAACCAAUUAAAUACCCGUUAAUGUAUUUUAGCCCUUUGUUUUUUCCAUUACAUAUUACAAACUGCAAAGGCUGUGGAAAAUUUUUGCUUUUUACUUUAAAUCUGUAGAACAAAUCCUAUGAAGCACCUCAUAGGUCCCUCCUGCUCAGUUAACAGGGAGGCUGUAGUAAUAGUGAGCUGGGCUGUUUACCAGUGUUCACCAGAAAAAUAACAAUAUACUCCAGUGAUAGAUAGAGGCAGUUGGCCUGCAAAUGGCACAUGAAACAUCACGUACAACAGGCAAAGCACCACACUGACAAAGCCUCUUAUUGAAGCUUGUGUUCAUGGUGCUCACAUAGUGACUGGGGCCUUAUGAAAACAAGUUUGUUUUCAGAAAACUUCAAAUGCCACCAAAAAACUGUGCCCCACAAAAUUGCCUUCUUGUUGGGAAGGAGGAAUUGGGGAGAACAAAAAGUGCAGCUUGGCUUAGCAGGGAGAGGGGCAGGACAGCAGGUGUUCAGCUGGGAUGUAUGGGUCACUGCUGCCUGACAUUAAUCUGCCAGAAAUUCUUUGGUGAUUUUAAAAAUAAAUGGCCCUAGUCUGAAUAACUGAUUCAGUGGAAUUUCUACAGCCAUCAUACAGCUGUGUGAAGGAGUAUCUUUAGUCUUGUUUUAUUUCCAUAGAACUUUUUCUGUAGCAACUUUUUUAUUGCUACUGCUUAGUCUUUGCCAUGAUCCAUAAUGCAGUGCUAUGUGCUAUAUUGAGGGUUUAAACAAAGUAAAGCAGGAACUUUGAUAUAACUUUAAUUUAUUUUCAUUUUUAAGUAUUUCAUUGAUGGUAUGGUUAUUUUACAUUUAACCUGUGUGUCUGUCUUGUAGAGUACUACACUGUCAUAAUUUCCCUCUUACACUACCUUUGUCCAUAGAUUAUUUUGGAGGAUGCUUGUUUGCUUUGUAACUGUACUUAGGAAAGAACUUGGAUGUUAUCUCUAUGAAGAUACUAUUAGAGAAUGGAACCUUGAAAAGUUCUUUAUUGAAUUUAAAGUUUUAAUACACGUGGAAAACUUUAAUGGAUUGUUUUGGAUUAUGGUAGACUUUUUACAGAUACGUUUUUUCAUUCUAACUGCAUCUUAAAUUGGUAGGGUUGAAAUACCAGAAGUUAAUAAAAAUGUUUUGCUUGUAGUGGC